AUUGAGAACAAUGAAGCGUUGGGAGGUUGCAAAAAUCACUUGCAAGCCUGAGUAUGCCUAUGGAACUGCAGGUUCUCCACCAGAUAUCCCUCCAAAGUAAUGUUUUUCUGCUUUGCAGAUUAGGUUCCAUGUUUAGCAGUUGUAUACAGGAAAACAACUUCAGGACAACCUGGCAUACCAUUGAGUGUUGAAU